rnacentral:tRNA from 1 species
GCCUCUGUGGCUCAGUGGUAGAGCGCGUCCUUGGUAAGGACGAGGUCGCGAGUUCGAUUCUCGCCAGGGGCU